AGUGUGCCUCUGGCAGUGGUCGAGGGAGGAUGUGCGUCACAUCGCUCCCGUAACUCCCCUUAAACCACUUAAAAAAAACCCGAGUUUUUUACCCCCUUAUACAGAAAACGGAGGUGUCUGCUACAAUAUAGAAAAUGGAGGGUGGUAAACAUAAGAUAGAACACUGUAACCAACUCCAGGCACACACUCCCACCUCGUUAAAUAUUAAAUAAUGGAAAUCUAGCCAGCUAAAUUAAACGACAGAAAAUUAAAACAGUUGGGAACUGUGCCGGGAAUUCCAGAGAAUUUUUUGAUAGCGUGUUGAAAAAAAUGAUGGCUAGCCAAUCACAAGGCCAGCUUCCCGGAGGGGCAGCCAAUCACCGAGCCAGCUACGCAGAAGGUUAGCCAAUCAGAGAACCACCUUAUCAACCAGCCCACCAAUCACCGAGCCAGCUUCGCAGAAGGUUAGCCAAUCAGAGAACCACCUUGUCAACCAGCCCACCAAUCACCGAGCCAGCUUCGCAGAAGGUUAGCCAAUCAGAGAACCACCUUAUCAACCA